GAAAGAGCCACUUCCUCUCAGAGUCUAGUUCAGAGAAACAGACACUCAAACCAACAUUACAACUUGGAAAGUGCUAUGAGAGAAAUAAAUGAAGAAGCUAUGGCAAAAAAAGAGGCAGGGCAGUUAGAGUUAGGGGAGAGCUGGUGUACUUUGGGGAGAGGAAAUGGCAUGUACGAAAGCCCUGAGGCAUGGAACUGUACCAUUUUGAGAAAUGUUAGUAAUCAAGGUAUUAUAUAAGCCUAGUUAAGGUUCUUUCCACAUGGAACAUAUUAUGUGUUGAUCUACAAAGCUUGAACCUGACCUGAAGGCUAGGAGAACAUUUGGAAAAUUCAAAGAAGAGAAGGGACUUGCACAUAUCUACUCUACUUGGUGAAGAAUCAAUUAUAGGAGGCAAUAUUAGAGGCUGAGAAACCCAAUGAGAAGCUAUUUCAGCAAUCCUCAGGAGUGAUCACUUCUCCAAGACAGAGUUACCAGGAAACAGGAUUGACGAGGAAACUGAGGCACAGUUGUAUUCUGCUUAGGGAAUGCUUACAAGUGGACCAGGAAGGAUUAGGAAAUAGGAAGCAGCCAGUCUGGCUCCUACUCUGUGCCCACAAGCUGAGCAGCCUUCCGUGGAUGAACAGUGGUCAAUUCUAGGAAAAGAGAGAAAACCAAAGCUGAAAUCCAGUAACCACUGAUAGGAAGAUCUGGAGAUAGACACUGACCUGAAUUCUGAAUAACAACCAGAGAGAAGGAAGUCUGAGAACGUGCUGGCCUUCCUCCAAAACCUG